GACGUAGGGGGCCAGCGUUGUUCGGAAUUACUGGGUGUAAAGGGUUCGUAGGCGGUGCGGCAAGUCGGGAGUGAAAUCUCUGGGCUUAACCCCAGAGGCUGCUUCCGAAACUGCUGUGCUUGAGUGUGGGAGAGGCGCGUGGAAUUGCAGGUGUAGCGGUGAAAUGCGUAGAUAUCUGCAGGAACACCCGUGGCGAAAGCGGCGCGCUGGACCACUACUGACGCUGAGGAACGAAAGCUAGGGGAGCAAACAGG
rnacentral:rRNA from 1 species